UAGCGGCAGGCCNUAACACAUGCAAGUNGAGGGGUAGUAUAGCAAUAUAUGAGACCGGCGCACGGGUGNGUAACGNGUAUGCAAUNUACCUUUUACAGGGGAAUAGCCCAGAGAAAUUUGGAUUAAUGCCCCCAUGGUAUUAUAGAGUGGCAUCAUUUUAUAAUUAAAGUUCCAACGGUAAAAGAUGAGCAUGCGUCCCAUUAGUUAGUUGGUAAGGUAACGGCUUACCAAGACGAUGAUGGGUAGGGGUCCUGAGAGGGAGAUCCCCCACACUGGUACUGAGACACGGACCAGACUCCUACGGGAGGCAGCAGUGAGGAAUAUUGGACAAUGGGCGCAAGCCUGAUCCAGCCAUGCCGCGUGCAGGAAGAAGCAUCUAUGGUGUGUAAACUGCUUUUGUACAGGAAGAAACACUCCCUCGUGAGGGAGCUUGACGGUACUGUAAGAAUAAGGACCGGCUAACUCCGUGCCAGCAGCCGCGGUAAUACGGAGGGUCCGAGCGUUAUCCGGAAUCAUUGGGUUUAAAGGGUCCGUAGGCGGUUUUGUAAGUCAGUGGUGAAAUCUGGUCGCUCAACGAUCAAACGGCCAUUGAUACUGCAAGACUUGAAUUAUUGGGAAGUAACUAGAAUAUGUAGUGUAGCGGUGAAAUGCUUAGAUAUUACAUGGAAUACCAAUUGCGAAGGCAGGUUACUACCAGUUGAUUGACGCUGAUGGACGAAAGCGUGGGGAGCGAACAGGAUUAGAUACCCUGGUAGUCCACGCCGUAAACGAUGGAUACUAGCUGUUGGGAGCAAUCUCAGUGGCUAAGCGAAAGUGAUAAGUAUCCCACCUGGGGAGUACGUUCGCAAGAAUGAAACUCAAAUGAAUUGACGG
rnacentral:rRNA from 1 species